GUUUCAACUCUAACCCUGUUCCUGUAGAGCUACCCUCCUGUAGGUUUCAACUCUAACCCUGUUCCUGGAGAGCUACCCUCCUGUAGGUUUCAACUCUAACCCUGUUCCUGUAGAGCUACCCUCCUGUAGGUUUCAACUCUAACCCUGUUCCUGGAGAGCUACCCUCCUGUAGGUUUCAACUCUAACCCUGUUCCUGUAGAGCUACCCUCCUGUAGGUUUCAACUCUAACCCUGUUCCUGGAGAGCUACCCUCCUGUAGGUUUUAACUCCAACCCUGUUCCUGGAGAGCUACCCUCCUGUAGGUUUUAACUCCAACCCUGUUCCUGGAGAGCUACCCUCCUGUAGGUUUUAACUCCAACCCUGUUCCUGGAGAGCUACCCUCCUGUAGGUUUUAACUCCAACCCUGUUCCUGGAGAGCUACCCUCCUGUAGGUUUUAACUCCAACCCUAAUCUAGUGCAUCUGAAUAAAAAAAUAGCUUGUUGAUAAGCUGAAUCAGUUUAUUUACAACUGGGGUUAUCCAGAGAGUCAGUCUUACAUGAGCAAUUAGGGUUAAGUGCUUUCUCAAUGAAUUUUUUUCUAUAAUCACCAAGUUUGCUUUGGGAUUCAAACCAUCGACCUUUCAGUUACUGACCCAAUGUUCUUAACCGCUAGGCUACCUGCCGAUGUUUAACGUUUGUAAUGCUUUAACGUUUGUAAU